rnacentral:rRNA from 1 species
UGGUGNGGGUAACGGCCCACCAAGGCGACGAUCAGUAGCCGGCCUGAGAGGGUGAACGGCCACAUUGGGACUGAGACACGGCCCAAACUCCUACGGGAGGCAGCAG